AUUUCCCAGUCAGAGAUCACUUGCCAAAUGGGACAUAUAGAUGAAGAACACAGAGGCAGAGACACCAUCAUUUUAUAAAACACACAUUAUGUGGGCAUAUACUCACUUUACAUAAUAUUUUCAAUAUAACAUUAAACCCACAAAUAUUCUCCCCAUUGUGCCAUUUUCACCCUGUACCAACAAAUAUUGCAAGUGACCCCUUUCUGCCCACAUUAGCCAAUGGUGCUUCAGUGAUUGGAUAAACUAUUAUUAAACCAGUAAUAUCCUGGCAAGUUCUGCUUCAUACAGAUGUAAUUUAAUGUCCCAGGUUUAUAUCCCUUGCAAAGUAAAUGCUUUUAGUGGAGGGGGGGAAGCCAGCUCAGGCACAGAGCUCUGCUCAAGCUGUGGAAAUCAGACACUUGUUUAAUACCUCUCAGAAUCUCUCCAGUUAAAAAAUGACCUUUUCUUGCAUAAUAUCCCAAGUAACCUCGCUGCCUAAUUAUAUUUGCACUUAUAUGAGACUGCAUCAGUCCUCUUAUUGGUUUGAAAUUCCAUUAAAUAUAUUGUGAGCGCUCCUAGGUUAAGCUUGAUUUAAAUUUGCAUACAUUUUCAUCUGUUUAGCAGAAAUAAAAGAAGUGCAGCAGCGAGCAGCAAGUCAUUAAGGCGUUAGAUUCUAGUAGAAGGCAGCUGGAAGAAAAGGAAGAAUUUGCCCAGGAAAAGGCAAUAUGCCUACUUUAAGCUCUGAAGACUUUCACAGAGGAGAAGCAGCACAAUUGCAGAGGGACUCACUGCUGGGGACAUGCAAGAUAACCUGUAUGGCAGCACAUUUCUGGGUGUCCAGUGGGAAAUAUCAGGAUGAGGAGAGUGGCUGCAGCAAGCAGUGCCAGACUAGAAAAUGUGCCACUUCACACUUUCAAUAGGACUUCCAGUAAUUCCGUUUCCAUAGAAUUGUGACUGUCCAUGUUCUAAACUAUGAUGCACAGAUUAGAUAAUGCUAAAGCAAUAAAAUGCAUACUGAUUUAUUUCCUUAAGUAAAUGUUGCAGCAAUUUAUGUAUCUAAUCCAUCACACUAAAUCAGACACAGAAUAUGAAGAAUUGUUAGAAUUCCUGUUUUAUUUUGAUACAAAAGAAAUUCUCACCAAAUGUAGUGCAAAUUUUGGGUAUGUAGUCACCAAUGAAAUGGCAAGGAGGGGAAACUUCACAGCACAUAUUUACAAUUUAAGACACUUGAUGAAACCUUGAUUUAAAUAUUUUUUUCCUAGGUUUAAGAAUUUAAAGCAAUGUGAUAGAUGUUCCAGAUUCUAAAAGCUUUUGUGUAAUUGGUGUCCAUAUUGUAGCUUGGUUGCUUACAGAAAAGAGGGGUAGAGUUUUUGAUGGCAUGAUCAAAUAAAAGCACGUCCCUUAAUGUCCAUUCAAGGAUCACUUCUGUCUGCGGGUGCCUUGUGGUGCAGAGCACAGUGUCAGUGGGGCAGGGCAAUCCUGUCCAUACAGGGAGUUUCUUAUCUUGCAAGUCUAAAUGAUGCACAAAUGAUCUAGGCCUUCAAAGUUGUGCACGAGAACCAAACGAACGAUUGGAUUACAAAGAAGGUAUUUAGGGCAUUGGGACAAGGACUGUAUUAACUGUAAAGCUGGCCAUACAUAAUAAGAUCCAGUUAUUUUGUAAGGUUGCCAAAUGAGCGGAUCUUUCACCAACAUACCCACCUUGUUGUGGGCAGUAUUGAGCUGAUCCCUCGGGCCAAUGAUUGGGUCAUAAUUGAUGCUAUACAGCCCCUCAGAUCAAGGACCGCUUUAGCAUGCAGAUGUGGUCCAUCCAAUGGGAGAAUCAAACCCAUUGGCUGAUCGGAGGGCCCCAUUUAUGGCCAGAUAAACUGCUGACUGGGCCUAAAUGGGCCAAAUCUGCAUGUGUAUGGCCACUUUUAAAUCUGUUGUGGUAUUAUCAAACAUCACAUAUAGGAAUAAAAUAGUAAAGGAGUACAAAUACACAGCAUACUGGGAACUACUUUGAUAAAGCUUGUUUUUAUAAAUGCAUAUUCAUUUAUCAUUUGUCUACCACAAUAUGUUGUUCACACUGUGUGUCUGUGUUGUGUAUAGAUAGAUAGAUAAUAGAUGAUAGAUAGAUGCAUCAGUAUGGUUGUCUUCUUUAGCUACAGAAUAUUCUUAUAGUCCUCAUAACUGAUAGCCCCUCAAUAAUAUCAGUAUCGUUCUUUGGAAGCUGACAUCUUUUAGAUGGAUAUUGGCUGUUAUUGUAGCUGUCAGGAAAACUGUUAUCAAGUACUAAAGCUGUUGUGGUCCCAGCAGGCCAUCUGUUAACACUUGUGUUUUUAUAAACUUGACCCAAUAUUUAGUUUUGUCUUUCUUCAGGUUUGUUCAUAAGUUACCAAACUGAUGGUCUGAAGAAAAAAAUAGGACAACCUAGUUCAUGCGUAUUACCAGUUAGAAAAUAGAUUUUAAGGUAUAAAUACACUGUUAUUAAUUAUCCCUCGCUUAUGCAUAUAUAUCAGUGUAAUUUUUCAUUUUUGGUUCGUGAUAAAAUGCUAUUAGCUUUACAGAUGGAGUAAGAAUUGUUUCAGACUUAAGAAGGUUUUAGUGCUUUUAUUUUAUAGAUGUAUUGCUGGAGUAUAUGGUAAAUGUUUGCAAUGGGCCUUUAAAUGCACCUGUGCAUUGGGCUACAGAACACAAUUAAAACAUGGUCUAGUCAAUAGAUAAUAUUAUCAAUUAGAAACACAGACAAUGGCAAAUCAUUUCGUCCAUCUCUUCAGACCAAGUUCAGCACCCAAAGGGAGAAAUGCAAAAUAAGUAACAUUUUCUUGGCAUUAACUAUAUGCCAGAACACCAUGCAAUGUUGCUUUGUAAAAAGUGUAUCCAUUUAAAGAAGGAAACAGGAAGGAAUGGAGGGAGCCUUGGGUUCCGUUCCAGCAAUGGUUCUAUCUGCUAGGACUUUCUAAGUUUUCAUUAUGUUGAUUUCCUAAGUUUGCUAUAGAUUUACCCCAAAGCCUAUAUAGACACAUACACCACUUAGUCUAGCAUGUGGGCCUGAGUUGGAAACUUAGACUGGGGCAGAGAAAAGGUGAUCCAUUCAAUUUCCAAAAUACAAAGUGAAAGUGCUUUCCCUGUAGGUAGAAAAAAUGCAGCCUAUGCAACAUCAUCCUCGCAUUCAGAAACUGCAAACCUACAGAACCUACAGAACCUGGAUGUGUUUCACUGACACUUAACCAUAAAGAUGGGAGUUACUACAAGUAUCAUUCCACAAGUUCAAACAAACUAAAGGACAUGCAAAUGACAUAAAGAUGUAAGGAGAAUUCUGGAUAUUCAAGUGCCUGACAAAGUUCUCUAAAGAUUUGAAUGAAUUUUUACAUCUAACAUUUUACAGUUUUCCAAACGUUAAGGACAGAGCAUGCAGCACAUACAAGGUAAGAGAACAGAAGGAGAGAGAUAUAUAACAGUAUUCCUCUGUUUUGAUAUACACAUUCAUCAAAAAAUGGAUCCUGUUCAUCUUGCCUGCCACUGCACUAAAUGCAAUUUUAACCAGGAUAUGGUGUCCAGCCGACUCCAAGUUCAUUUCUAUUGAAGAAACAGAUACUGUUUUACCACAGUUUACCUGCAGGAAUCCUAAAUCUCACAAUAAAGGAAAGCAAAUAAACAUUA